rnacentral:rRNA from 1 species
UACGAAGGGGGCUAGCGUUGCUCGGAAUCACUGGGCGUAAAGCGCACGUAGGCGGGUCCUUAAGUCAGGGGUGAAAUCCCGGAGCUCAACUCCGGAACUGCCUUUGAUACUGGGGAUCUUGAGUCCGGAAGAGGUGAGUGGAACUCCGAGUGUAGAGGUGAAAUUCGUAGAUAUUCGGAAGAACACCAGUGGCGAAGGCGGCUCACUGGUCCGGUACUGACGCUGAGGUGCGAAAGCGUGGGGAGCAAACGGG